rnacentral:rRNA from 1 species
GCAAGCUUAACCGUAUAGGGCAGGCGUAGCGAAAGCGAGUCCGAAUAGGGCGUUCAGUCGCUGGGUGUAGACCCGAAACCAAGUGAUCUAUCCAUGGCCAGGUUGAAGGUGCGGUAACACGUACUGGAGGACCGAACCCACUAACGUUGAAAAGUUAGGGGAUGACCUGUGGCUAGGAGUGAAAGGCUAAUCAAACCGGGAGAUAGCUGGUUCUCCCCGAAAUAGCUUUAGGGCUAGCCUCGGGAUGGAGAGUGUUGGAGGUAGAGC